GGGAUUGUAGCUCAGUGGCAGAGCACUUGCCUAGUAUGUGUGAGGCCCUGGGUUCAAUCCCCAGCACCA
rnacentral:tRNA from 1 species